GUCCACUGACGCGGAGUGGAGCGGAGAGGAGCUUAGCGGUGCCCGAAUUGACCAAUCACCACGCUCGAAA